GAUUCAUUCCUCCACGUCAACACGAGAUUGGGCUGAUCUUGGGCUGUUAAUUUUUUUCAACCGUAAAAAGGAAAAAAAACAUGUGGGUCAUGAACCCAGGUCUGGAAAAUCGGAUAGUGUCGACAUCUCAACUCUUCGAUCUUCAGUAACCCUAAAACAGACAGGCCAUUAAUCUCUUUGACAUCACAUCUCUUCGCCCUUUCCCCUUCUUCAGCGGAUCGUUCAAUCAACACCAUAUUCAUGAGUGUGCAAUGAAUCAUCUGGAAAUCUCAUUAAUGGGUUCCUUUCGUCUCCCUCUCAGAUUCUUUAUAUCAUUCAUAUUUUCCCUCACAUUUGUGACACACAAAAUUCUCUCAAGCCAUGAAUUCUAACAGCAAAUCAACCGUUUCCGGCGAUUUUACCACGAAGAAACCGAACGAAAAGGAUGUUGUCUCCUCCGCGAGCCGGUCGAACGAGACGGGCAAACCCAAACCUUCAUCUCUAUUGCUAAAUAUGUUUCCGGUGAUCCUAAGAAGAGAUGACAAGAGUAGAUGAGCAGUAGGGGUUUCUUUAAUUGGUUCAAAGUAUAUGGCUGCUUCAAUCUCAGCAAGACUUAUUCGCACUGUUGGAUCCUAUGCAGCUUUAGGACGCAGCAGCACAAAUGCAUCUGGAAAAUUUUUAAGCUCUCUUCCAUGUAAUCUAAAGGUUGAUGUCUACAUCACUUCGAUUGCAUAUACAGACUCACCAAAUCGAAGUAGUCUGUUGGCUUAUACACAAAUAUCUUAUUGGCGUCAAUGUCGUUCUCGGAUAUGAGGUACCACCAUCGUUUCUUUUUUGAAAUGCUCUCUUUGUGAUUGUAUCUAUGUUGAGUCUAAUCUACAGAUGGAGCAAAUGCGGUUGGGGAAGACUCUACAAGCAAUUUUUUCUUGAGCUAUCUGAAGUUUCAUCAAGGAUUGCGAGGGCCAUUUCUUGAGUCAAUGAGAUCUGCUUCUUAAAGACAAGUUCUGAUGUUGUGUUGUUUAAUGUUGUGUCUUGAUUUGGCAGUUUUGCUUUGUUCUUUUAACAUAACCGAUGGUUGGGGGUAAGAGAUAAAAGGUUCACUCCAGAACUUGAAGUUUUUAGGUAUGUUGGUGAUAAGGAUUGCCGUAGGGAUUUGUAGGGAUUUGCGUAAGAAAUCUUUGUUACCGUUUGAUGUGUUGUUGACAACGUAUGAUAUAGCAUUGGUGGAUCAAGACUUCCUUUCUCAGGUUCCGUGGUAACUGAUGAAGCUCAAAUACUCAAGAAUCCCAACAGUGUAUGUUACCUACCUAGAAAAAUUCAUCGAGUUGUGAAAUGAAUGAUAGAUCACUGGUUAGUUGAUACUGUGAAUUCAAGAUUAACUUCCAUUCAUUUCACACAUCUCUUAUGUAGCCGUUUAUAUGGAUUUAUUGUAUCGGUUUACUUUCCAGCCGAAAGCUCUCCACUUCUAUUUUGACUCCUGAUUGUACAUUCA